AUUAGGUUGCUAUAUAUUUGAAGAGAAAUAAAAAAAAUAAGGGUUUUGGGGAGUUUUGUUGUAAAUUUGAAAAGGGAAGAGUUAGAAAGCUUUGGAAGGGAGCUAGAGCUUGAGGAAGGAGACCCCAUAGAGAUGGCUUGUUUUCUUUUGCUAGAUUUAUAGGGUAGGGGCAUUAUUCAUCUAAGGGUGCCUUAAUCAUGAA
rnacentral:lncRNA from 1 species